GACGAACGCUGGCGGCGUGCUUAACACAUGCAGGUCGAACGGUGAAGCGCCUUCCUUUUUGGUUGGUGUUGUUGAGCGGCGAACUGGUGAGUAACACUUGAGUAACCUGCCCCCUUCUUCUUGUUAACCUCAUUCAAGUUUGGCUAAUACGUGAUAUUCUGUUUCUGUCUCAUGAUUGGUCUGGGUAAGUUUUUGUUUCGGUGGUGGAUGGUCUCGCGGCCUAUCAGCUUGUUGGUGGUUGAUGGCCUACCAAGUCGUUGACUGGUAGACGGCCUGUGUGGGUGGACGGGCACACUGGGACUGAGACACGGCGCAGACUCCUACGGGAGGCAGCAGGGGGGAAUAGUGCACAAUGGGCGCAAGGCUGAUGCAGCGACGCCGCGGGAGGGAUGGAGGACUUCGGGUUGUGAACCUCUUUCGCCAGUGAAGCAGGCCUGCCUCGUUUGUGGGUGGGUUGACGGUAGCUGGAUAAGAAGCGCCGGCUAACUACGUG
rnacentral:rRNA from 1 species